rnacentral:rRNA from 1 species
CAGCCGCCGCGGUAAUACCGGCGGCCCGAGUGGCGGUCACUAUUAUUUGGCUUAAAGCGUCCGUAGCCGGGUUGGGAAGUCCUCCGGGAAAUCUGGCCGCUUAACGGUCAGAAUGCCGGAGGAUACUCCCAGCCUAGGGAGCGGGAGAGGCCGAGGGUAUUCCCGGAGUAGGGGUGAAAUCCUAUAAUCCCGGGAGGACCACCUGGGGCGAAGGCGCUCGGCUGGAACGCGUCCGACGGUGAGGGACGAAGGCCAGGGGAGCAAACCGGAUUAGAUACCCGGGUAGUCCUGGCUGUAAACGAUGCGGACUUUGUGUCGGACAAGCUAUGAGCUUGUCCGGUGCCGGAGGGAAACCGUUAAGUCCGCCGCCUGGGGAGUACGGCCGCAAGGCUGAAACUUAAAGGAAUUGGCGGG